AUUGAACGCUGGCGGCAUGCUUUACACAUGCAAGUCGGACGGCAGCACAGAGAAGCUUGCUUCUUGGGUGGCGAGUGGCGAACGGGUGAGUAAUAUAUCGGAACGUACCGAGCAGUGGGGGAUAACUAAUCGAAAGAUUAGCUAAUACCGCAUAUUUUCUGAGGAAGAAAGCAGGGGACCAUUUGGCCUUGCGCUGUUUGAGCGGCCGAUAUCUGAUUAGCUGGUUGGUGGGGUAAAGGCCUACCAAGGCGACGAUCAGUAGCGGGUCUGAGAGGAUGAUCCGCCACACUGGGACUGAGACACGGCCCAGACUCCUACGGGAGGCAGCAGUGGGGAAUUUUGGACAAUGGGCGCAAGCCUGAUCCAGCCAUGCCGCGUGUCUGAAGAAGGCCUUCGGGGUUGUAAAAGGGACUUUUGUCAGGGAAAGAAAAAGGGGCGGGGUUAA
rnacentral:rRNA from 1 species